rnacentral:rRNA from 1 species
GUAUGGCGACCGGCGCACGGGUGAGUAACGCGUAUGCAACCUGCCCGAUACCGGGGUAUAGCCCAUGGAAACGUGGAUUAACACCCCAUAGUACUUUUAUCCUGCAUGGGAUGUGAGUUAAAUGUUUAAGGUAUCGGAUGGGCAUGCGUCCUAUUAGUUAGUUGGCGGGGUAACAGCCCACCAAGACGAUGAUAGGUAGGGGUUCUGAGAGGAAGGUCCCCCACAUUGGAACUGAGACACGGUCCAA